GUGCAAGGUCCCAUGGAAACCCUGGAGAGGAGAAGACUCAGGGCGAUCUCAUCAAUGUAUAUAAGUAUCUGAAGGGAGGGUGUAAAGAAGAUGGACUCAACUCAGGCUCUUUUCAGUAGUCCCCAGUGACAGGACAAGAGCCAAGUGUCCACCGAGCCAGUUUGAAUGGCUGAAGAGUUCCAGUGUGUCUACCUGUUACUCAUAGGAAAACACCUCCAGAUCUCUGAUGAAGCUUUCUACCUUUUCCUGAACCUUUUCUAGUCUUACGUUGACCUUUAUAAAAUGUGCGGACACCCCAAUGAGUUCUACAACUGAGUAACUGUGUUUUGUGUUUUGUUCUCCAUCCCUUUCCGACUAACUCCUGAUCUGUGGAGUCCUUCAGACAAUCAGCAGAGACAAGACCUGAGUUGCCAAUUGUCCAAAAAAAAAGAAGUGAGCAUCAGCGAACCUUUGACUACUGAUUUCUCAAAGAUCAACCCCGAUACUCAUCCAGUCUCUCCUCCUUAAUACGGCAGAGAUAUCUUCUUUCUCCCUGUCAUUCUGGUGGUGCUCUUUUAUCUCUGGAUGUAACCCUAUCAGAUCCUGCAGCACUUCCAGGAGAUAACUUCCCUGAUCAGGAUGUGAAUAACAACUUGUGCGUAAGUCAAUGACAUCAUGACCUGCUUAAGCCUUGAAGAGAUUCCAUGAGUCCUGCUGGGCAAAUGCCUCUAUCAGCAGCCACCACCCACUACUAGGUAUGGCCAGAAGAUACAUUGCCUUCCUGCAUAGCUCAGGAAAUAUAACAGCCGCUCACCCAUCACCACCCUUUGCAGAUAUGACGUACUCAGGCAAUAUCCUCUGGCUCAAGGAUGCACCAAGUACAAAAUGCCUUCCCUUUGACCCUUUACUCCUACUGUCUACGUCUGCAUCUAAAUUGGGAAUGAACUUCCUGGUCCCCAAACUGGAUGAGAGUAGGUCAGAGCCCCCUGGGUGGUCCAUGUGCAAGAUUAAAUUAUAUCAAAUUUGGUAUACGUCUGGGGCCUCGUUUUGUUAUGAAAACAGACCUCGGGCAGUUGUUUAUGUACAUCCCAGGCAUUGCCCUCAGGUUUAAGAACGGCUUACGCUCUGUGGCUAUGCUGAUCUGCUCUGACCUCAUCUACCACACUGGAGAAAAGCAGCCUUGAGCCCUAAGGGCAGAAGCAAAUCAGAUGCCAGACACACAGGCAGUGAGUCAGAGAGCAGUGGGAUGGCACAGGCUUAGCGAUCAAGCAGUCCUGCUAAACAGUAUUUUGACCUGGUGCUAGACUCAUGGUUUAACAAGUGUGCUGGAGAUCUAAAUAAGGCCAGUGCUUGGCCUUAAGCACUGCCCAGUGCUCCUCCACACUGCUUCAGUGUGCCAAUUCCUGCCCUUCCAGGCAAUGUCCAGACACAGUUCAGAGGAUAGCAGGGGGCAGGAACCAUUCCCAAGAGGUGAUUUGGACAUAACGAAUCUAUUUCUGCUGAGGCAGCGGGGAGGUUUUUAGCACCAUGACAGAUGUGCCCUACCAGAUGGCCUUAGUCCCAUCAAGCAGGACAGACCAGUUGUAUUUGCUUUUGGCAUUAUAACUCUCCCUGCAGAGGACUUGGUGUUUCCCAUCACCUCUUUCGGUGGGAAAGAUUUUCAGGGGUGGAAGAGAUUUGGGGAGGGGAAUAUAAUGUGCAUUUGCCAUGUCCUUACUCCUCACUGGGUAUCUGUUCAUGGACAGUAUUGGAGGAUGCCCAGUCUGAGCCGGCACCGUUGUUCUCAAGGAGGUAGCUGCAAUCAAAUUGCUUUGAAGCCUAUCCUGGUUUCGGCUGAAAUAAAGUUAAUUUUCUCCUUA